rnacentral:lncRNA from 10 species
AGUGAUUUCUAGUCUUCUUACUUCUAGGAAGUGAGGAAAGAAGAUGACGGGGAAAGGGGUGGGUGCCAAAAACUGUAGCAAAACUAUAAUUUAUCACCUUAAAGCAGUGGCUCCCAAACCUGCUUUACACUCUUAGAAAUUAUUGAGGACAAAAACGGAACAUGGGAAGGGACAAAUAAGGGAAUAAAAGCUGGCCAUCCCAGCCAGCAGUGGCAACCCGCUCGGGUCCCCUUCCAUGCUGUGGAAGCUUUGUCCUUUUGCUCUUCACAAUAAACCUUGCUACUGCUCAAAAAAAAAAAA